rnacentral:rRNA from 1 species
UCCCUACGGGGCGCAGCAGUAGGGAAUCUUCCACAAUGGGCGAAAGCCUGAUGGAGCAACGCCGCGUGGGUGAAGAAGGUCUUCGGAUCGUAAAACCCUGUUGUUAGAGAAGAAAGUGCGUGAGAGUAACUGUUCACGUUUCGACGGUAUCUAACCAGAAGGCCACGGCUAACUACGUGCCAGCAGCCGCGGUAAUACGUAGGGGGCAAGCGUUAUCCGGAUUUACUGGGUGUAAAGGGAGCGCAGACGGCAGUGCAAGUCUGUAUUGAAAGCCCG